rnacentral:rRNA from 1 species
AAACUUGCCCCGAGAUGAUUUCUCCCUGAGACUAUAAGUCUCCUGAAGGAACGUUGAAGACGACGACGUUGAUAGGCCGGGUGUGUAAGCGCAGCGAUGCGUUGAGCUAACCGGUACUAAUGAACCGUGAGGCUUAACCUUA